UCAAAAGCCAGGAAAAGUCAAACCCCUUUCUAUGCAGGUUGGGAUCAGUGGAAAUGCUGUUUGCCUUUGGUAUUGCACUUGUCCCAGCCUGUUGAGAUUACUGAAGAUUGUGGCUGA